GGGACACGUGAUAUCCUGUCUGAAUAUGGGGGGACCAUCCUCCAAGGCUAAAUACUACUGACUGACCGAUAGUGAACCAGUACCGUGAGGGAAAGGCGAAAAGAACCCCUGUGAGGGGAGUGAAAUAGAACCUGAAACCGUGUACGUACAAGCAGUAGGAGCAGGCUUUGUCCUGUGACUGCGUACCUUUUGUAUAAUGGGUCAGCGACUUAUAUUCAGUGGCAAGGUUAACCAUCUAGGGGAGCCGUAGGGAAACCGAGUCUUAACUGGGCGUUCAGUCUCUGGAUAUAGACCCGAAACCAGGUGAUCUAGCCAUGGGCAGGUUGAAGGUUGAGUAACAUCAACUGGAGGACCGAACCGACUAAUGUUGAAAAAUUAGCGGAUGACUUGUGGCUAGGGG
rnacentral:rRNA from 1 species